AACUCGAGCUAAUACCGCAUACGUCCUACGGGAGAAAGCGGGGGAUCUUCGGACCUCGCGCUACCAGAUGAGCCUAGGUCGGAUUAGCUAGUUGGUGAGGUAAAGGCUCACCAAGGCUACGAUCCGUAGCUGGUCUGAGAGGAUGAUCAGCCACACUGGAACUGAGACACGGUCCAGACUCCUACGGGAGGCAGCAGUGGGGAAUAUUGGACAAUGGGCGAAAGCCUGAUCCAGCCAUGCCGCGUGUGUGAAGAAGGUCUUCGGAUUGUAAAGCACUUUAAGUUGGGAGGAAGGGCAGUAUUUUAAUACCUUGCUGUUUUGACGUUACCGACAGAAUAAGCACCGGGGGGCUUCGUGCCACCACCCGCGGUAAUACAAAGGGUGCAAGCG
rnacentral:rRNA from 1 species